AGUUAAGAGAAGUGAACCACUUUGUAUGUGAUUAACAGUUUCUAAAUGUUGUUUAUAGCACAACAUGGAUAAUAAGAGAUUCAGGAAAUUGUAAAAGAUGUAUUUUUGUGUAAAAACUAAACAAAAGACUAUAAUAAAUAACUUUUUUCUUCUGGUUCUCAUGUAAAACAUAACUAAAUUUGUUUGAAAACAAUGUUCAGCAAAUUUUCCAAGUUUUUUUUUUUAAUUUAGAAAUUGUUUCUGUGAAUCCACCCCAAAAAACUUAAGACACCUGAACAGUUUUAAUAUGAACAGUAGUAAAAAGCAGACAACUGUCCUUCAAAGCAAUUCUCUUCGUGACUGAAAAAAUACUGAGAAUGAGUCUGAAGUGAUGUGUAAAGCAAGCGAGCUGCUGAGCGUGUGAAUCAAUGUUUCUAUUAUCUUUUCCGGACAGAUCGAUGGAGCCGAGGAAUGGGCUGUGAAUGGUAAGGAAGAGGGAGCUACGGAGAAAAAGACGCAUUCACUUUGAAGCCAAUGGUUCGUCUUAACUCCAUUAUCUGUGUGUGUCAGGGAAGCCCGUCUUUGACAGCAGACCUUUAACCCCUCUCAUUGACAACAUUUGUGUUUGAGUUCAUGUCACAAGCCUGGUUAGUUAAAGAUGUCUCUCAAUGUAUAGUGCAGUUCUCUCAGCUGCAGAUCUAACAGAGAAAAGCCUUCAGACACAUUUACACUCUGCGGCCUUUUCUGGACUGUUAAGGGAAGUGAUAAAGCAACAGUAGCCAGGUGAAGCGUGGCGAGGUAAUCUUAUAGGACAUGCAAAAGAGCCGAUCCUCAUGGCUUAUUCAUUUCAGGAGAUGUCAUUACCGAGAGUGGCGUGGGCUGUGAGGGACGUGCUGGUGGGGGCAUUUUCUUUGGUGUCAAAGAGUGCAGAAAAGAUGGUGGUUCGGCUGACGGGCGCAGCAGCAAAUCAUGCAUGCAGGCAAGAAAGCUCCCUUUCCCAGCUGACGGGUGGCAGUUUUUACAUGACAUGGACUUCUGAUUCAAGCUGUCGCCAACUGAUGUAGACAGUCCCAUGCAGCUGAUCCCCGCUCAUACAUUACAGAAGUUUUGCCUGUUCAGCAAUCAGUAGCUCGCAACGGACCUUAUGAGAUGAAAAAAGUCAAGUACGGACCUUGGACAGAUGGUGAUACGGCUAAAAUCAGAUGCAUGACGCUGCUUAUUCUCCCAAAAAGAUACACCAUCCCUGCAGUGUCCAGAAACUACCUAAUAUUGCAGUGAACCGCCAAUAUGCAAAUGCUUUAAUCAGGAUUCUAACACCUUUAGAGCCCAAACUUAGAGGUACAACACCAAGAGUAAAUGUACAAAGAGAAGUGGAAAGUCACUGUCUGUGUGAUAGAUGAUCUCGCUCUAACAGAGCUAUGUAACACAUAAAAAAAGUCAGUUGGUCAAGAUAUUUCCACAUUUUAGCGCACUGCAGAAUACCACCAGUAGAGCAGUGCAUCUUGGGUAAUGAAAGACUGGGGAUUGCACAUUAAGGACAUUUUGCCUCUGGUAGUUUUUUUCUGUAACUCAAAGAUGUUUGAAACCUUAAACAAACUUUGAGUCUUUUAUAGGAUGGCAGAACAAUCAUGUGGAUUUUAGGAUAUUUUUUAUUUUCUUGCCAAUUACUUCAAAUGUGAAUUUUAUUUUCUUAAAAAGUUGUUAAAGAAAUUAAGCUUCUUUUGCCCUAAUAUGUAGCAUUGCCUAUCUCCUCUCAGCGGAUGUCCGCUUUUGCUGCAUCUCUGAUUUUACUGCGAUGAGAUAACAACUAUGAGGGAACGGCGAGUUUAGAGUGCAUCGAUGGGGGGUCUCUCUUACGAGGAAUCCUUUGCACCGAUGAUUCCCAAGAGAGGCGGAUGAGGAGUUGCUGAUGAGGAUGGGGAGGAGAGGAAGGUGGACUGAGGAUGUGCACACACACACACUGACCCUGGACGCUGCGUUCCCCUUUAAAAGUCCCAUCCCACUCGGAUACGCAGAGCUCAUGCAGGAUCUGCUGCGGCAGUGGGGGAACACUGCUGAGCUGUGCAGUUUGUGCUGCCAGCAAGCGUGCAAUGAAGAGGAGGGGGAGCGAGCCCGUACUGGAGGAGGAGGAGGAGUGAGGGAUGGAGGUAGAGAGAGAGUGCAAACAAUGUCAUUCUGUUCAGGAGGCAAUGCUGCAGUCAACUUUCCCAUGCCAUGAAAGCACAUCACCAGCGAUCAAGAGGCUCAGAGUGAGUGCAGAGAAGUUUUCCUCAUCUCUGUCCUGUGUGUGAUGCGCCGCAAGAUUCGUCCAGGAGGCACUGGGUCCAGCUGCUGGUGGCGUGUGGGAACAUGCCUUGACUUGUUGUGGUGCAACACAGAAGGCAGAGAAAGACUGAGAAGGAGAACAAGCUGGUGGUCAAGCCCGGUGUGAAGUGACCCGUGCCCGGGGAAAGCCCUGCAGCCCCUGGCACAGACAGCAGUUACACGUGGUGGAGGUGAGGGGCAAUAGAGGAGCGCCGCUGCAGCCUGAUCAUCUAUAUUAGAAAAACACCACUCCUCCACAAAGCUGGGCAGGAGAAGCACGGCUGCAUUCUGAGAUGGAAAGAUGGGAACGUGCAGCAAAGUCAAGCAAGGAUCCUGGAGGAGAUAGGAGGACAGACGGCUGGUUUGUUGGACGCGGCUGCUGUGGGUGUUUCUCUGGCAGUGUCUUAGCUGGUUGUUGUGAGGAGUGAGAACGAAGCAAUCAGCAAGUAUACUGCCGCAGAAAUUCUUCGCAAUAUGAAGCCUUGGGAUCACGGCCAACGUGGGGAGAAAAGGAAACAUAGGGAGAAUGCACUUAUGCUGGAAAUCCCAAAACAGACCCUUCAGAUUUCACUCAGACCUGGGAUCUGCUGUAGACUGACCAGCUGGGAGCAAUGACUUUUUGCCUUCAAUGACAAUUACAGGUGGAUCAGGGCAUCUGAACUUCUGCAUCAUGAAUCUCUGCUGCCAUCUUGUGACUGUAAGAAACCACCAAAGCAUUCAUUUGAAGUUCUGCGCAAUUUUGUAAAAGCAAGAUGCUUUGUAAAUGAUAUGACUGUUAGGUCUUCCCAGUUAUAAAAAAUAAAAUGAUUCAAUUUAAAUCAA